UCAGGCUGGAGUGCAAUGGUGUGAUCAUGGCUCAUCGCAGCCUCCACCUCCCGGGCUCAGGAUAUCCUUUCAUCUUAGCUUCCCGAGUAGCUGGGCCUACAGGCGGGAGCCACCAGGCCCGGCUAACUUUUUGUAUUUAUUUAUUUUUUUUUUAUAGAGACUGGAGUCUCACCAUGUUGCCCAGGCUGGUCUUGAACUCCAGGGCUCAAAGCAAUCCACCAGCCUCGUCUCCUAAAGUGCUGGAAUUAUGGACGUGAGCCGCUGCGCCCGACAAACUGGGACUAUCUUGUUUCCUUUUUACACCCUUCCUCUCUGAGUAGUGGGGAAGGGUGUAAACCUCCCUAGGAGCAGGUAAGGUAGACUAUGAUUGCUCACAAUUGGUAACCAUACUUGCAGUGAUCUUUGUGAUUUAUUGAAUCACAUCUAGGAUGUACAUAUUAAUCCAUAUUUGUGCUGAGCAUAUUCAUUUAUCAACUAAGAGACUACAGAAAAAAGCCAUUGUUGUGGUGAUGAAAAUGUCAACACUUUAUCAGGUUCUGAACCCAAAGAGACUUUUGCUUAUUAUGUAAGAAGCACACCUGU
rnacentral:lncRNA from 10 species